rnacentral:rRNA from 1 species
AAAGAACUUUGAAAAGAGAGUAAAAUAGUACGUGAAAUUGUUGAAAGGGAAACGAUUGAAGUCAGUCGUACCGAAGGAAAAUCAGCUCUUCGAGUGCGGACUUGUGGGCGUACGUGAGCUUUAACCGGCCUCGUCGUUUGCUACGUUUGUGCUUUUUGGGUGUACUUUUUCGUAUGGUAGGCCAACGUCAGUUUCGAUCACCAUAAAAUGAUCGGAGGAAUGUAGCUUCGAUCUUGUAUUGAAGUGUUAUAGCCUUUGGUAGGUGUGGUGACUGAGACUGAGGAUUGCAACGAAUACCCUUUGGGCUAUCCGUCUGACCUCUGAAAGUUGCUUAGGUGCCGAAAGCUUGCUUACGGUCAUCUAUGACGACGGUCAAAAGGUUAGAACGUGAUUAUAUUCGUUAAGGAUGUUGGCGUAAUGGCUUUAAACGACCCGUCUU